rnacentral:miRNA from 1 species
GACAUAUCUAUGCAUGUAUAAAUGUAUACACAUGUCUACAUAUAUGUAUGCACAUAUCAGUAUGUGUACAUAAAUAUAUACAUUAUGUGUGCUUAUAUG